rnacentral:rRNA from 1 species
AUUGAACGCUGGCGGCAUGCUUUACACAUGCAAGUCGAACGGUAACAGGCCGCAAGGUGCUGACGAGUGGCGAACGGGUGAGUAAUGCAUCGGAACGUGCCCAGUCGUGGGGGAUAACUGCUCGAAAGAGCAGCUAAUACCGCAUACGAUCUAUGGAUGAAAGCGGGGGACCGUAAGGCCUCGCGCGAUUGGAGCGGCCGAUGUCAGAUUAGGGAGGUGGUGGGGUAAAGGCUCACCAAGCCAACGAUCUGUAGCUGGUCUGAGAGGACGACCAGCCACACUGGGACUGAGACACGGCCCAGACUCCUACGGGAGGCAGCAGUGGGGAAUUUUGGACAAUGGGGGCAACCCUGAUCCAGCAAUGCCGCGUGCAGGAAGAAGGCCUUCGGGUUGUAAACUGCUUUUGUACGGAACGAAACGGUCUGGGUUAAUACCCUGGGCUAAUGACGGUACCGUAAGAAUAAGCACCGGCUAACUACGUGCCAGCCGCCGCCGUAACAC